rnacentral:rRNA from 1 species
CCUACGGGGUGCAGCAGUGGGGAAUUUUGGACAAUGGGCGCAAGCCUGAUCCAGCUAUUCCGCGUGUGGGAAGACGGCCUUCGGGUUGUAAACCACUUGUGUAGAGAAAGACAAUUCUGUUGAUAAGACCGAUAGAUGAUGACGGUACUCUAAGAAUAAGCACCGGCUAACGACGUGCCAGCAGCCGCGGUAAUACGUAGGGUUCGAGCGUUAAUCGGGAUUACUGGGCGUAAGGGGUGUGCAGGCGGUGUUGCAAGAUGGAUGUGAAAGCACCGGGCUUAACCUGGGAAAGCCAUCCAUGACUGCAAGACUAGAGUGCGUCAGAGGGGGGUGGAAUUCCAAGUGUAGCAGUGAAAUGCGUAGAUAUUUGGAAGAACACCGAUGGCGAAGGCAGCCCCCUGGGACGCAACUGACGCUCAUACACGAAAGCGUGGGGAGCAAACAGGAUUAGAUACCCUUGUAGUC